UACGGAGGGUGCGAGAGUUAAUCGGAAUUACUGGGCGUAAAGGGCGCGUAGGCGGCUGAUCAAGUCAGGUGUGAAAGCCCACGGCUUAACCGUGUGAAGUGCAUCUGAAACUGGUCGGCUUGAGUAUCGGAGAGGAAAGUGGAAUUCCCGGUGUAGAGGUGAAAUUCGUAGAUAUCGGGAGGAAUACCGGUGGCGAAGGCGACUUUCUGGACGAAUACGGACGCGGAGGCGAGAAAGCGGGGGGAGCACACAGGAUGCGAUAACACGGUAGUCC
rnacentral:rRNA from 1 species